ensembl:lncRNA novel transcript
ACCAAUGCCUGGCUACAGGAUCCCCUGAAACUGGAACAAGCCCUUCUUUGACUUCAACCUGCUUUUCAGAAACCAGGGGAGAUAUGGCGGGAGGGGAAUACUUAGCUUCCACAUAGGCCACCGGCCAGGAGGAAGAGGGCUUAGAAUCGUGAAAGAGACUGGCCCAGGACCUGGGCUGGCUGACAGGAAGGGUGCCUGAUGCAGAGCCCGUGCCGUCAGCAGGAGGUAGUUUAUCCCCAGCUUGUGUGCCACACAGAACUGUUCCACUGCAUGGAGGAAGCUCAACUGAAGAUCGAGGAGUCACAAAGAACUGAUUGAAUUCAUCAGGGCUAAAAUCUCCAAAAAUAUACUGCGGGCUGUGGAGGGCCAUGGCUGCCGGUUUCAAUGGGACUCGGCGCUCCUCCGGCUGCUCACGCUGCCUCCCCCGCCGCCGCCAUCUUCUCCCCCGCACAUACACCCAUCUAUGACUAUUUCAAUAACUCCUAUAACAGAUGGAAUUUUUGCAAGUUUUAGAAUAACAAAUAACAUUAAAAAUCCUUAUGAAUAAACAUUAAUUUACCUAA